GACGAACGCUGGCGGCGUGCUUAACACAUGCAAGUCGAACGGAAAGGCCCUGCUUUUGUGGGGUGCUCGAGUGGCGAACGGGUGAGUAACACGUGAGUAACCUGCCCUUGACUUUGUGAUAACUUUAGGAAACUGGGGCUAAUAUCGCAUAGGAUCUCCUGCUGCAUGGUGUGGGUUGGAAAGUUUCGGCGGUUGGGGAUGGACUCGCGGCUUAUCAGCUUGUUGGUGUGGUAGUGGCUUACCAAGGCUUUGACGGGUAGCCGGCCUGAGAGGGUGACCGGCCACAUUGGGACUGAGAUACGGCCCAGACUCCUACGGGAGGCAGAAGUGGGGAAUAUUGCACAAUGGGCGGAAGCCUGAUGCAGCAACGCCGCGUGCGGGAUGACGGCCUUCGAGUUGUAAACCGCUUUCGCAUGUGACGAAGCGUGAGUGACGGUAAUGGGUAAAGAAGCACCGGCUAACUACGUG
rnacentral:rRNA from 1 species